UACGUAGGGGGCAAGCGUUAUCCGGAUUUACUGGGUGUAAAGGGAGCGCAGACGGCGGCGCAAGUCUGAUGUGAAAGACCGGGGCUCAACCCCGGAGCUGCAUUGGAAACUGCGCGUGCUGGAGUGCCGGAGGGGUAAGCGGAAUUCCUGGUGUAGCGGUGAAAUGCGUAGAUAUCAGGAGGAACACCGGUGGCGAAGGCGGCUUACUGGACGGCAACUGACGUUGAGGCUCGAAAGCGUGGGGAGCAAA
rnacentral:rRNA from 1 species